rnacentral:lncRNA from 1 species
UUUUUUUUUUGUUUGUUUUUGGUCUUUUUAGGGCCACACCCAAAGCAUAUGCAAGUGUCCAGACUAGGGGUUGAAUCAGAGCUAUGGCUGCUGGCUUAUACCACAGCCACAGCAACACCAGAUCCGAGCCGCAUAUGUGACUUACACCACAGCUCAUGGCAACGCUGGAUCCUUAACCCACUGAGUGAGGCCAGGGAUCAAACCCGUGUUCUCAUGCUACUAGUUGGGUUCUUUACCACUGAACCAUGACAGGGAUUCCUUUCUCUUAAUUUUUUUAAUGUCAGCACUGAAAAAAUUGUAAGUGACAAAUGUGGUUCACAGUAUGGUUUAUACUGUACUGUAUGAUGAUACUGGUCUAAAGCAAAUGUGAUUGAGCCAAAAACACCCAUAAAAAGGAAACGACUAUAUAAUAUACAUGUAACGGAUGUCAUGUUGUUUCAGCAUAUUUAAUGUGAAUCCUUAUUUAGUGGCUUUACCUUUCAAAUGUAAUCACACCAGAAAAUAGCAGUUCAUCCUUUCCUGUAAGAACUUAAAUUGGCAUUUUCCUUGAUAUCAAUAUUCAUUGAAUAAAUGAGCCUAACCAGCUUAUGCAUAUUUCUUAUUUAUUUUAGAUAAAAGGCAAUGAAAUAGAAUUAGAAAAUGCAGUUGCUGAAUCCAGUGGUGAAGCAGAUGCCUUAGACAUGUCUCCAAAAGAUUUAGGAUCCAGUCUACUAAGAAAAUCCAUUCGCAAGAAUAUCAAGGGACCACAAGGCCAAAACAGAAAGCUUAGUACAAAAGAGAGCUUGGUACGGAGAAACCUAUAGAGUUGUGUCUUCACCAGUGGGCCAAGGCUGGGAUAGGAGUGGGAACAAGAAGGGGGUUAUCCACAAGCCUCUUGUUCUGUCCCCUAAUGUGUUCUACAAAUCCAAAUCUCAAUUUUUUAUACUUAAGGUAUAACUGAUGGGAGUUUGCUGAUGUCUAAGCAAGUUGAGGAACUGGCAGUCACUGCUGUGGCAUGGGUUCAGUCCCUGGCCUGGGAACCUUUGAAUGCCUGGGGUGUGUCCAAGAAAUAAAAAAAAUACAAAGGACAAUUUGUAGGACAAGAAUUUUAGAAAGAGAAUUUAUAAUGUAAAGAAACAGAUUUUAAUGGUCGUAAAUAUAAACAUUUCUGUUCUUUUAUCCUUACUUAUAAACAUUUGUGUCAGGUUUCAAAUGUCAGUUUAUGGAAUCAGAGCAGUUACCUGGUCUAGUGAUUAGGAUUUGGCGCCUUUACCACUGUUGCUCAGGUUUAAUCCCUGGUCUGGGAACUGAGUUCCACAUUAAGCCACUGCACAUGGUAGCCUAAAAAAAAAAGUUUAUGAAAUCAUUUACUUCUUAAAAAAUAAAGGAGUAACAUAACAGAACAUAUCAGCACUUUUUACAAAGUUAAACAGCCAUUAAUUGAUAAGGAAGUAGGAAUAAGAUAUAUUCAUUUAAAAAUUUUUGUUCAUAAGGAAGAACUGUACAUGGGUUAAAUCAAUUAAUAUCAAUUCUUUUCCGUAUUAGUCUGUUGUAAUGUUUUGUGUUCUCCAGGAUGAAAAUGUACCUCCUGUUUCCUUUUGGAGGAUUGUGAAGCUGAAUAUAACCGAAUGGCCUUAUUUUGUGGUUGGCAUAUUUUGUGCCAUUAUAAACGCAGGUCUGCAAUCAGUAUUUUCAGUAACACUUUCAAAGAUGAUAGGGGUAAGUGUUUCUGUCCAUUUGGUUUGCGUGUGUAAAGAGUGAACUGUUCAGCGUUCCCAUCGUGGCUCAGUGGUUAAAUUCGACUAGGAACCAUGAGGUUGCAGGUUCGAUCCCUGGCCUUGCUCAGUGUGUUAAGGAUCCAAUUUGUUUCCACUGAACCACAAUGGAAACUCCAAAGCUUUUUCCUUUUUAAGAGAUAAAUCUGUCUGGGUCAGGUUAGGAAUGAGGCUCUUGCAAGACAGAUUUGGGCCCAGUGUGAAGGGAGAUGUGUUUUCUUUCCCUGUGGAGUGUUGUUGUCUGUGUUCCUCGAGCACAGGGCCUCCCAUUAGGUCUUCUAACCAGGGUCUCCAAAGGGUGGUUCUAAGUCAGCCACCCGCCCCCAGUUGUCAACCCCCCAUCCUACAAAGAAGGCUAGUUCGAGAACCUUUUUUCUUUUUUUCUUUCUGGUUCACUGAAACCACAUCAGCAGAGGUGCCUCCAGACACAUUUCAACUCCAGACAAGUUGAACUGUCCAAAUUGUAAAACAGCUAAUUGCCAUUUGAUGCAAUUUCCCAUCAAAGGAACAAGAGAGUGGGAGUUCCCAUUGUGG